GGGGAUGUAGAUUAGUGGUAGAGCGUCCUCUUCGCAAGCGGAAGGACCGGGGUUCGAUCCCCCGCAUCUCAA
rfam:Nematostella vectensis strain CH2 x CH6 NEMVEscaffold_161_Cont16368, whole genome shotgun sequence.